rnacentral:tRNA from 1 species
GUCCCCAUAGUUUAAUGGAUAGAAUGUAGCCUUGCGGAGGCUGAGAUCGAGGUUCGACUCCUCGUGGGGACA